CAUGCAUAGAAUUGAUAUGAAAAGUAUAUAGAAAUGUGAAUCGAAUUGCCAUGCAUGAAAUGAUAUGAAAAGUAUGAAUUGAGAUAUGAUGCAUAUGAAUGAAUGGUGCGGCGGACGCACAGGUGAGUAUCAGGUGAGUAUUUAAUUACUGUUAUGAUGAUGUUGAUAUAUAUUGAGCUCAAAUCCUGCACCAUGGUUUAGUGCUUAUAGUAUUCACCGCAUCGCACGCUCGCCUUGGAUCCAAGUAGAUGCUAGUCGUACAGUCCACGCGGAGUGGGUACGACAGGCCAGUCGCGAGAGUGUUAGUGAGAUUCCGACUGGUGGGUGACCUUAGAUUAUGUGCACAGAUGAUUUAUGAGAAGCACUAGAGCGUAACUUGUGUGCAGAAGGCCGGACGGGUCACAGAGGUGACUCCGGUAGAGUGAUAGUGAUAGAUUUUGAGCUCUAGGUUCAACCGUACAGGGCUAUUAGAGGGCCUACGGUUGAUUACUUUCUUGCACCUGAUAUGAUUAUUGUUGAUGCAUCCAUACUUAACUAUUGAAUUAGACAUGGCAUGGCAUGAUUGAUAAAGAAAAAUGUUGAGAUAGUAAAAAUGAAGUUUUGAGAAUAUAUAUGUAUAUUUAUAUUUUACAUUUCUGGGAAAGUAUACAGGUUUUACGGAGAGGGGUUACAACGUUUUGAGAAAUGUUUGGAUUUUGAAAAGAAUUGUUUUACUGACCCACUCAAUUUUGGUUUUGCGCCCCUCCAGGUUCAAGAAUCACAAAGGUGUGGUGACUACGAGGAAUUCGACGGUGUUCUGACAGAUUGGACAAAAUUAGGACUCACCUUCGGGUGUAUCAACUUAUAAAUUGUAUCUUAAAGCUUCCGUACUGUGUAAAUGGUUACGUCACUCUCACGUGACGGCCAGCAUGCCCUCCUUCGGGACGGGGUGUGUCAGUCGACCUUAGAUUAUGUGCACAGAUGAUUUAUGAGAAGCACUAGAGCGUAACUUGUGUGCAGAAGGCCGGACGGGUCACAGAGGUGACUCCGGUAGAGUGAUAGUGAUAGAUUUUGAGCUCUAGGUUCAACCGUACAGGGCUAUUAGAGGGCCUACGGUUGAUUACUUUCUUGCACCUGAUAUGAUUAUUGUUGAUGCAUCCAUACUUAACUAUUGAAUUAGACAUGGCAUGGCAUGAUUGAUAAAGAAAAAUGUUGAGAUAGUAAAAAUGAAGUUUUGAGAAUAUAUAUGUAUAUUUAUAUUUUACAUUUCUGGGAAAGUAUACAGGUUUUACGGAGAGGGGUUACAACGUUUUGAGAAAUGUUUGGAUUUUGAAAAGAAUUGUUUUACUGACCCACUCAAUUUUGGUUUUGCGCCCCUCCAGGUUCAAGAAUCACAAAGGUGUGGUGACUACGAGGAAUUCGACGGUGUUCUGACAGAUUGGACAAAAUUAGGACUCACCUUCGGGUGUAUCAACUUAUAAAUUGUAUCUUAAAGCUUCCGUACUGUGCAAAUGGUUACGUCACUCUCACGUGACGGCCAGCAUGCCCUCCUUCGGGACGGGGUGUGUCACUAA
rnacentral:lncRNA from 1 species